ACACACACACAUAUACACAGACUUGUUCCUGGUGGGCACCCUCUGACCCCAGUGCAGAGACAGUGCCAAGUGUGUGUGUAUGUGUGUGUGU